rnacentral:snRNA from 1 species
AUCACUUCUCUGCCUUUUGGCUAAGAUCAAGUGUAGCAAUAGCAUUUCUUGCAUUAUUUCUGAGAAUUCAAAGAUAUUAUUGUUUCAAACUGAUGAACAUUUGUAUUUGAAUGAUUUGUCUUUUCAAU